UACGGAGGGAGCUAGCGUUGUUCGGAAUUACUGGGCGUAAAGCGCACGUAGGCGGCUUUUUAAGUCAGGGGUGAAAUCCCGGGGCUCAACCCCGGAACUGCCUUUGAAACUGGAGAGCUAGAAUCCUGGAGAGGUUAGUGGAAUUCCGAGUGUAGAGGUGAAAUUCGUAGAUAUUCGGAAGAACACCAGUGGCGAAGGCGACUAACUGGACAGGUAUUGACGCUGAGGUGCGAAAGCGUGGGGAGCAAACAGG
rnacentral:rRNA from 1 species